rnacentral:lncRNA from 1 species
GGCGAGCGACGGUGCUACAAGCAGAGCCAGCAGAGACCGACGCGCCAUGGCUACUGUCGGUGCUUUUGGAAGGGUGCUUGGUUAGUGGGGGUGGGGUUUGCUGGAAAUCCACCUUCCAGCAAGGGGUUUGCCUAGAUUGGGAUGGGACGAACGUACUCACACUUUUGAGAUUAUUCGCGCUGGGGCUCCGACUGGAUUCCGGUCGCUGCUACGAGCUUUAAGCUUUAAGUAGAUAUCCUAAGGGGAUAAGAUGACGCUGGAUACAACACCCAUGAGCUAAUUGCAGUGUAUCGCUAUCUAUGACUAGUUAGUUUUAGUCUAGAUACUGCCUAUACAAGGGUUAAUGCCCCAACAAUUC